GGGCAUGUGGCUCAGUUGGUAGAGCGUUCGCUUAGCAUCUUCUCUUGGUCAAAUCUUGGCUCUGGAGCUCGUUGAUGCGAAAGGUCCUGGGUUCGAUUCCCAGCCUGUCCA